GAAGGAUGAAAGUUUGACAAGAAAGUCUCACAGAUAUGUAUGCUUAGCAGAAAGAUUUUUGAAUGUAGAAGCUGAGGAAGGAAUAGAGAUGGAAGCAAGUUUUGCUAUAGAAGAAAAGAAUUGCUGAGCCAGUCUUACUGGAUAACCAAGGAGGCAAAGGGUAUGUUAGUUAGACGGGGGUUUUUAUGACUUAGAACAAAGGAUAAACCCACCUCAAACAAGAAGAUGUUUUUACCAAGCAGAAAGAUAGCACAGGCAAACAAGUCAGCAAAUGUUGCAAGUAGAAAAAAGGUCUCAGAAUUUUCCACUGCAAGAAAACCGAAGAACAACUUCUAGCUUAAACUGUAAUGUACUAACCUUUAGUGAUUGGAGAAUACUAACAUGAAUAUGGUAAUUGUAUUAGUUAUGAUAGGCUAUAGAUAAAAGUUAAGGUAUAGAUUGGUUCUACUGUAUUAAGAUGUUCAGCAAAGAAAAGUAUAUAAUGAAUUUGUAACCUAAACUCAGGGUCUCCAGGCCUGCCUGCAGCUGCAGCUGACAGCUGUAGGCUCAGGCUCUGUCGCCCACGACCCUGGACUGCUCUAACAUCUUGCAUGGAAUAAACUGCAUUUUGGAAGAGCCGCCUGGAGUCCCGCAUCUCUCAUUUAGGCUCUUACAGUGGCGCCCACGUUUUAGUUGGCAAACUCGGACUUAUUAGCAGUAAGAGACCUCUCGGUGAACUCAGUAAAAAGCGGCCGCACGGAUUAGGCACCUGAAACGAGGGUGACCGGGGCCCGGACAGAAGCUGCUGCUGGACAGUGCCUGGAUCGGAGCCUCUAUAUACAGCGCCUGCUGCAUAGCUGGACAGCAGAUACAGGACUCAAGUGGAUUCCAGCAAAGAACGUGAAACCGUACCACCCCUCAAAGCCCGUGGAUGCUUCCGCAGCAGCCAGUGACCCUGCGAGUGGAAGCCGAGAGACAGGCACGCAAACAUGAUCUACACAGGAUCACCCAGAGAAAACUGUCUGCCAGAAACUGUUCAAGAAGAGAAUGGAGUUGUAUUAUAAUUUGCGUGGGUGUAUGUUACUUUUAACCUUUUGUUUUUAUCUUUGCAGUGAAGCUUUACCUGUAACUCAACCAAAAACAAAUGUUUGGGUUUCUUUAGCCAAGUCUGCAGGCUCAUUUGCUUAUCUAACACUAGCCCUGAUAAACCUUUUUCAACUUGUUUAGUUGGAGUGCCUUUCCCAGAAGGUUUUGAUAAUGUUACUUUUGAGAAAUAUUGGCCAUAUGAUGAUCACCACACUUCUCCAACUCCUAGCCCAAGACACCAAACUUAUAUUGAUAAUUUUAAAGUUGAUAAAUCUGAUCUUCAAGAAUUAGAAAUUUUAGGCUCAUUAACUAUGGACACUUGUUAUUUGUUUCAUUUUAUAGGACAAAAUGGGCCACAUUUAAAUGUUACUCCUUAUCACCCAGUUUAUAACAAUAUGACUUCUUGGUGUAAUCAAACUAAGCUUCUUAUAUAUGAUGAACCUUAUGCAGAUCGUUUUAACAAACUUCCAAUUCGAUUUCCUAAAGGAAUUUGGCUCAUAUGUGGAGACAGGGCUUGGCAGGGUAUUCCCUCAAAACUAGACGGUGGCCCUUGUGCCCUGGGACAACUUACAGUAAUUGCUCCCAGUAUCAAAAAAGCAAUGAAAAAGAAAAAUAGAAAAAUAAGAUCUUCCUUAGGGCAUCAUUAUGAGAGCAACUGUGAUAGUGAGUUUCACCCUUGGAACUCUGGAAAUUCAAUUGUUACAAGCAUUUUUUUACCUCAGUUAAGUUCUGCAAUUGCACUAAAACAGUUAAACAAAUUAGGGUGUUGGCUCAGUAAAGAAGUGAAUGCCACCUCUACAAUAAUUAGUGAUUUGCUGACAGAUGAGGAGGCAGUCAGACAUGCCACUUUACAAAACAGAGCUGCUAUUGACUUUCUUUUACUAGCACAUGGACUUGGUUGUGAAGAUUUUGAAGGAUUGUGUUGUAUGAAUUUGUCUGAUCAUUCUGCUUCUGUUCAUAAACAGCUGCAAAACUUAAGAGAUUUAGCUAACCAAAUUACAACAGAUGAAUCAUCUUGGUUAGACAAUUUGUUUGAUGGUUGGAGCUUUGCACCUUGGCUGAAGGAACUUUGUAAGUUAGGCUUGAUUGUGUUGGUGGUGAUAAUUACAAUUAUGUUAGUAGUACCCUGUGCACUUCAGUGUGUGCAAAGAAUGAUGAAUAAGACAGUUUCUAGCAUCUUUGUUGUUCAUCAGAACGGGGGAGAUGUUGGGAAGGAUGAAAGUUUGACAAGAAAGUCUCACAGAUAUGUAUGCUUAGCAGAAAGAUUUUUGAAUGUAGAAGCUGAGGAAGGAAUAGAGAUGGAAGCAAGUUUUGCUAUAGAAGAAAAGAAUUGCUGAGCCAGUCUUACUGGAUAACCAAGGAGGCAAAGGGUAUGUUAGUUAGACGGGGGUUUUUAUGACUUAGAACAAAGGAUAAACCCACCUCAAACAAGAAGAUGUUUUUACCAAGCAGAAAGAUAGCACAGGCAAACAAGUCAGCAAAUGUUGCAAGUAGAAAAAAGGUCUCAGAAUUUUCCACUGCAAGAAAACCGAAGAACAACUUCUAGCUUAAACUGUAAUGUACUAACCUUUAGUGAUUGGAGAAUACUAACAUGAAUAUGGUAAUUGUAUUAGUUAUGAUAGGCUAUAGAUAAAAGUUAAGGUAUAGAUUGGUUCUACUGUAUUAAGAUGUUCAGCAAAGAAAAGUAUAUAAUGAAUUUGUAACCUAAACUCAGGGUCUCCAGGCCUGCCUGCAGCUGCAGCUGACAGCUGUAGGCUCAGGCUCUGUCGCCCACGACCCUGGACUGCUCUAACAUCUUGCAUGGAAUAAACUGCAUUUUGGAA